AACGAACGCUGGCGGCAGGCUUAACACAUGCAAGUCGAGCGCCCCGCAAGGGGAGCGGCAGACGGGUGAGUAACGCGUGGGAAUCUACCCAUCUCUACGGAAUAACGCAUGGAAACGUGUGCUAAUACCGUAUACGUCCUUCGGGAGAAAGAUUUAUCGGAGAUGGAUGAGCCCGCGUUAGAUUCGCUAGUUGGUGGGGUAAAGGCCUACCAAGGCGACGAUCCAUAGCUGGUAUGAGAGGAUGAUCAGCCACACUGGGACUGAGACACGGCCCAGACUCCUACGGGAGGCAGCAGUGGGGAAUAUUGGACAAUGGGCGCAAGCCUGAUCCAGCCAUGCCGCGUGAGUGAUGAAGGCCCUAGGGUUGUAAAGCUCUUUCACCGGUGAAGAUAAUGACGGUAACCGGAGAAGAAGCCCCGGCUAACUUCGUGCCAGCCGCCGCAGUAAGAC
rnacentral:rRNA from 1 species